rnacentral:rRNA from 1 species
GGUCCCGCCUGCCCUGUGACUAUUAGUUUAACGGCCGCGGUAUUUUGACCGUGCAAAGGUAGCGCAAUCACUUGUCUUUUAAAUGAAGACCUGUAUGAAUGGCACAACGAGGGCUUAACUGUCUCCUCUUUCUAGUCAAUGAAAUUGAUCUCCCCGUGCAGAAGCGGGGAUAAAGCCAUAAGACGAGAAGACCCUAUGGAGCUUUAGACACCAAGGAAGAUCCUGUCAAGACCCACCAAAAAUGGAAAGAACCAAUGGAUUACCUCUUCCCUAAUGUCUUUGGUUGGGGCGACCGCGGGGGAACAAAGAGCCCCCACGUGGAAUGGGAAAACACCCGCCUACAGCCCAGAGCUACAGCUCAAGGCAACAGAACUUCUGACCAUUAAGAUCCGGCAAAGCCGAUCAACGGACCGAGUUACCCUAGGGAUAACAGCGCAAUCUCCUUUUAGAGCCCAUAUCGACAAGGAGGUUUACGACCUCGAUGUUGGAUCAGGACAUCCUAAUGGUGCAGCCGCUAUUAAGGUCCGUUUGUCAACGG